UACAGAGGUCUCAAGCGUUGUUCGGAUUCAUUGGGCGUAAAGGGUGCGUAGGCGGCGCGGUAAGUCGGGUGUGAAAGUCUUGGAGCUUAACUCCGAAACUGCAUUCGAUACUGCCGUGCUUGAGGACUGGAGAGGAGACUGGAAUUUACGGUGUAGCGGUGAAAUGCGUAGAUAUCGUAAGGAAGACCAGUGGCGAAGGCGGGUCGCUGGACAGUCCUGACGUGAGGCACGAAGGUCAGGGGAGCAAACGGGAAUUAGAGUACCCCGU
rnacentral:rRNA from 1 species